GGGUUUGAUUUAGUUACAUUUUUUUUUUUUAGUUCUGCUUAUAUUAUAAUGGGAAAACAAUUUGGGGCCUUAACUGAAAACAA
ensembl:snoRNA snoZ159 Small nucleolar RNA Z159/U59